UGGGGAAUAUUGCACAAUGGGCGAAAGCCUGAUGCAGCAACGCCGCGUGAGUGAUGAAGGCCUUCGGGUCGUAAAGCUCUUUGAUCAGGGAUGAUAAUGACAGUACCUGAAAAACAAGCCACGGCUAACUACGUGCCAGCAGCCGCGGUAAUACGUAGGUGGCGAGCGUUGUCCGGAAUUAUUGGGCGUAAAGGAUGCGUAGGUGGAUAUUUAAGUGGGAUGUGAAAUCCCCGGGCUCAACCCGGGAACUGCAUUCCAUACUGGAUAUCUAGAGUGCAGGAGAGGAAAGCGGAAUUCCUAGUGUAGCGGUGAAAUGCGUAGAUAUUAGGAGGAACACCAGUGGCGAAGGCGGCUUUCUGGACUGUAACUGACACUGAGGCAUGAAAGCGUGGGUAGCAAACAGG
rnacentral:rRNA from 1 species